AGAACAAAUUGGAGUGAAAUCAAUAGUAGGUGGAACUUUGUCAACAUGUUCAAACUUUAUUUUUUGCUCUUACUUGUAGCGUCUGUCUUUGCUGCAAAGAGUGGGAUUAAUUCGAAUUAUCCCGAAUGCUACGCCCACAGAGAUUGUAUCAGAUUUUGUUCCGAAAAUUGUGUCGCCUAUGUGGUAGAUCCAUUAUGCCUCAACUCAAUGUGCUGGUGCCGGCCAGAAGUUUAUGGUAGCCGCAUGAAACUUAUGUGAUGGAUUCGGCAAAUUGUUCCUUCUAUACCGAAAAACACAUCAUACUAUGUACAUAGUUCAAAUCAGUAAACAUGCAUGUAUAA